AGGGUCAUAAAACUACCCCUGGAAAUGCCCACAAUUCCUACGAAAGCCUUGUCAAAUAUGUGUUUCUAGGUUCACGGUACAGAAGAAGGCUCACACUACCACCAGGGUCAUAAAACUACCCCUGGAAAUGCCCACAACUCCUACGAAAGCCUUGUCAAAUAGGUGUUUCUAGGUUCACGGUACAGAGGAAGGGUCACACUACCACCAGGGUCAUAAAACUACCCCUGGAAAUGCCCACAACUCCUACGAAAGCCUUGUCAAAUAGGUGUUUCUAGGUUCACGGUACAGAGGAAGGGUCAGACUACCACCAGGGUCAUAAAACUACCCAUGGAAAUGCCCACAACUCCUACGAAAGCCUUGUCAAAUAGGUGUUUCUAGGUUCACGGUACAGAGGAAGGGUCAGACUACCACCAGGGUCAUAAAACUACCCCUGGAAAUGCCCACAACUCCUACGAAAGCCUUGUCAAAUAUGUGUUUCUAGGUUCACUGUACAGAAGAAGGGUCACACUACCACCAGGGUCAUAAAACUACCCCUGGAAAUGCCCACAACUCCUACGAAAGCCUUGUCAAAUAGGUGUUUCUAGGUUCACUGUACAGAGGAAGGGUCACACUACCACCAGGGUCAUAAAACUACCCCUGGAAAUGCCCACAACUCCUACGAAAGCCUUGUCAAAUAGGUGUUUCUAGGUUCACGGUACAGAGGAAGGGUCACACUACCACCAGGGUCAUAAAACUACCCCUGGAAAUGCCCACAACUCCUACGAAAGCCUUGUCAAAUAGGUGUUUCUAGGUUCAUGGUACAGAGGAAGGAUCACACUACCACCAGGGUCAUACAACUACCCCUGGAAAUGCCCACAACUCCUACGAAAGCCUUGUCAAAUAGGUGUUUCUAGGUUCACGGUACAGAAGAAGGGUUAGAC